GCCGCCCCGCCGGUGUGGCGUCUCGGUGCUGGGCGAAGGGAAGAAGUCGGAGGUGCUGCUGAGAGGAGCCCGGGGGUGGCUCCGGAAGGGGAGAAGAGGAGUCCGGGAGAAGCGGUCUGAGGCGCGGGGGGCGAGCGGCUUGGAGUCUGGCGCGGGGCAGGAAGCGCCCGACUGCGCCGAAAGCGGCCCACGCCGCGGGGCGCUCUGGAGAGGGGCUUUCCUUCCUCCUCCAUUUUGUGACUCGGGUGUGCCCGAAUGGACGGCCGCGGAAGGCCUGGCGCCGCCCGACGCCUCUCCGGGCGGUGGAGGGUGGGCGCCGAAGCCCAGCGCCGCCCCAGCUCCCGCCGCCUCUCCCCGGCCCCUCCGCGGAGAGCGGCGUCGGCUUGAUGUGGCGCGGGCGGACCUCACGGCUUCCGUCGCAGGGUAGCCUCCUCAGGCCGGGAAGCCGGGACUUCGUCUCCUGUGUGCUGGGACAGCGGUCAUUCCCAGUAGUAUACAAACAUUAUCAUAGCUAUCCUUUAAAGAAAUAAAAAAAAAUUCUCCUCUGGCUGCAUGGCCCCUUUACAGCAGACAUCCUGCCACCACGAACGCCCACUCCGCUCGAGCUUUCCUCCUCACUUCCUAGUUCUCAUCUGACUCUGCUGGCCGACAGUUGAUGCACUUACUCAUUCCCCUCUUCUGGAAACUCGCUUUCCUUUCUUUUCCAUUUCCCUGCAGUCUUCUGGUUUUCCUUUUAGCUCACUGGCCAAGUCCUCUGGGUUUUCCUUUGCCCAGUCUUUCUCCCGUCCUGAUGUCCUAAGCGCUCAGGUGCCCUAGGGCUCAGUCCCUGGUCCUCUUCUCCGCAGUCACUCCCUCGUCUAACUCCAUGGAUGGUGGUCAGAGAAGGCUCUAAUCUUAGCGUUUCCUCUGAAGUCCAGAGGGUCUCUGGUCUGGAUUGAUACUUUGUGUCUUCUUGCAAGCCCUUUUCUACUUGGUGUGUAUCUUCAGGAUAGACUGGAAUAGAGCUGCAGAGCAGGCACAAGUUCGAGCUGGGCUAAAAGGGAUUAAAGAGACCAUACCUACCCCAACAGAUCCACCUAUCCCGGGCAGAGAAGGAACCGACGGAGUGAUUUUGCCUGAUGUCAUCAGGCCAGAGAGCCAGACCCUCCAACUGAUGGUACUGGAAGAAAACAGCCAGUAUGCAGCGUCCACCAGUGUCCACCAUGGUCCACCAGCAGUGUCCACCAUUGGGGGCGUCUUGACCCUGAGACAGUUGAUUCUCUAUCGUGGAAUGGCUCUGGCUCUUGCUGUUGUGGUCCUUUUAGCGGGAAUUUUCAUAAGAGUUUUCAGUGACCGUGGCUAAAAUGGAAGACUCAUUGCUACUCUACAAACUAGAAAUGAUAAUUCCAUGCCAUAUAUUAAGUGUCACAGGUGGCCUUGUUAUUUAGACGGUGGUUUUACUCUCAGUGGUACAUGGAAACGGUAUCAGGGAUGUUUCCUUGGUUAUUCUGAGAAACUGCGCUGUCUCGAUGGGCAUGAAGAAGAGAGCUAUAAUUUUAAGUAAACUUUUCUCUGUUCACUUUA